rnacentral:rRNA from 1 species
GACGAACGCUGGCGGCGUGCUUAACACAUGCAAGUCGAACGGUAAGGCCCUUCGGGGUACACGAGUGGCGAACGGGUGAGUAACACGUGGGUGAUCUGCCCCGCACUUCGGGAUAAGCCUGGGAAACUGGGUCUAAUACCGGAUCGGACCACUGCUUGCAUGGGUGGUGGUGGAAAGCUUUUGCGGUGUGGGAUUGGCCCGCGGCCUACCAGCUUGUUGGUGGGGUGAUGGCCUACCAAGGCGACGACGGGUAGCCGGCCUGAGAGGGUGACCGGCCACACUGGGACUGAGAUACGGCCCAGACUCCUACGGGAGGCAGCAGUGGGGAAUAUUGCACAAUGGGCGCAAGCCUGAUGCAGCGACGCCGCGUGAGGGAUGACGGCCUUCGGGUUGUAAACCUCUUUCAGCACCGACGAAGCGCAAGUGACGGUAGGUGCAGAAGAAGGACCGGCCAACUACGUGCCAGCCGCCGCCGUAA